rnacentral:tRNA from 1 species
GGAAUCUUAGCUCAGCUGGGAGAGCAUCUGCCUUACAAGCAGAGGGUCAUAGGUUCGAGCCCUAUAGGUUCCACUA